ACGGGACACCUGCAUCUGCCAACAAGACUGGAAGCAGAAAGGGACAGAGACGGCGAAGUUUGACGGUCUGGAAAGCAGAGACCAGCAGGGCUGACUGCUUGGGAGCACGAGGGACAGCUCUCCACCGACCGAAGGAGGAGAAUGCUAUUUAUUUCAGCACCAAAUAUCCGGACAGCGCCUCUCGGGAGGUCCGAGAAGAGAACCGCGAUCUGUUUCAGCACCGGGGCUCAGGACAGUUCCCAGCGGGCUCCGUUUCGUCUCCAGAACCCUGGACAGCUCCUCCAGCCUCCCAAAGUGCUAGGAUUACAGGCGUGAGUCACUGCGCCUGGCCCAAGUCCGGAAUUUUCAACAGGACAUGGGUGUUACUGUGCCCAUGUGACAUUUGGGGAACCCAAGGCCCUGAGAAAGGCAGAAAAAUAACCCACGCAGGGACUCUCAGCCCACAAGUGAAGCUCUUGGAAUGCACUCCCUCCACCUCCAACCAGAGCUCCCCACAACUGACCCUGCCUUCUUCUGCAAGCUCCAUUUCAUCAAGGGAAACGAUCCUUAUUGCCUCACCAUUUCCCACGUGAAGUCUGUAUUGACAUUCUCAUAGACCUGGGAUAUUGUGUCUGCAGCACAUAGUCCAAUUAUUUUCAUGUUAUCUACUGACAGGUCUAUUUGUCUCCCUGUUACACUGUGAGCUCCGUGAGGGCAGAAACAAUGUUAGUAUUUUCACUGCUGUGUCCCCAGCGCCUGGUCCGGGGCCCGGCACACAGCAGGCAUAUAAUAAGCAUGUGUUGAAUCAAUAAAGGCAUCAAAGAAUAAACCAAUACAUCAAUCAAUAAA
rnacentral:lncRNA from 1 species